AAAGUUUUAAAAGUCGAACAGACUUAAAUAUAAGACUUCUGCACCUUAUUUUUCCUUUAAUCCAACAUCGAGGUCGCAACCUUCUUUUUUGAUAAGAACUCUAAAAGAAAUUACG
rnacentral:rRNA from 1 species